GACGAACGCUGGCGGCGUGCUUAACACAUGCAAGUCGAACGGAAAGGCCCUGCUUUUGUGGGGUGCUCGAGUGGCGAACGGGUGAGUAACACGUGAGUAACCUGCCCUUGACUUUGGGAUAACUUCAGGAAACUGGGGCUAAUACCGGAUAGGAGCUCUUGCUGCAUGGUGGGGGUUGGAAAGUUUCGGCGGUUGGGGAUGGACUCGCGGCUUAUCAGCUUGUUGGUGGGGUAGUGGCUUACCAAGGCUUUGACGGGUAGCCGGCCUGAGAGGGGGACCGGCCACAUUGGGACUGAGAUACGGACCAGACUCCUACGGGAGGCAGCAGUGGGGAAUAUUGCACAAUGGGCGGAAGCCUGAUGCAGCAACGCCGCGUGCGGGAUGACGGCCUUCGGGUUGUAAACCGCUUUCGCCUGUGACGAAGCGUGAGUGACGGUAAUGGGUAAAGAAGCACCGGCUAACUACGUG
rnacentral:rRNA from 1 species